GCGUUUGUUUACGUUUGAAACGGGGCGUUUACCGUUGGAAACUGAAAUGUUUCGCUGCUCAUUCGACGUGUUAUAGUGAAAAGCCUAAUUCAAUUAUUUUUCAUGUUUUGAUGUGCUUUCGUGUACUUUUCAGUGUUUCCAAGCUCACGAUAUUGUAAGAGCGACCAAACUUGUUUAUAUUCAUACUUUUUGUGACUAGAACGUAUUAUCAUGGGCUGGAAAAUAUUGAAACGUGCACGGAGGCACAUCAAAACAUGGCAGUUGCGCCAAAAAUAGCUUAAGGCUUUUCAAUGUGAC